GGAGGCGUGGCUGAGUGGUUGAAAGCGACGGUCUUGAAAACCGCUGAGGACGCAAGUCCUCCGAGGGUUCGAAUCCUUCCGCCUCCGCCA
rnacentral:tRNA from 1 species